CAAAGAUUUGGUCCUAAUCUUACUAUUAAUUAUGAUAUAUUUACACAUGCAAGUAUCUGCACCCCGGUGAAAUGCCCUAAAUUUACUAAUAAUAAACUAAGGAGCUGAUAUCAGCACACGCCCAUUACAUCUUGCUAAGCCACACCCACAAGGGGGUCCAGCAGUGAUAAACAUUGAAAAAUAAGCGACAGCUUGAACCAGUAAUAAUCUAAAGAGUUGGUUAAUCUCGUGCCAGCCACCGCGGUUAUACGAGAAGCCCAAAUUAAUAAACAACGGCUCAAAGAGCGGUUAAAUGGAAAUUUUUACACAAUAGUUUAAAAAAUUAACUAAGCCGUUAUACGCAAUAGUUAAAUCUAAAAUCAACAACGAAAGUAAUACUAAUAAAUUAAAAAUAUUGAAGC
rnacentral:rRNA from 1 species